rnacentral:rRNA from 1 species
AUUGAACGCUGGCGGCAGGCCUAACACAUGCAAGUCGAACGAGGGGCGGACGGGUGAGUAAUGUCUGGGGAACUGCCUGAUGGAGGGGGAUAACUACUGGAAACGGUAGCUAAUACCGCAUACCAUCGGAUGUACCCAGAUGGGAUUAGCUAGUAGGUGGGGUAAAGGCUCACCUAGGCGACGAUCCCUAGCUGGUCUGAGAGGAGGACCAGCCAAACUGGAACUGAGACACGGUCCAGACUCCUACGGGAGGCAGCAGUGGGGAAUAUUGCACAAUGGGCGCAAGCCUGAUGCAGCCAUGCCGCGUGUAUGAAGAAGGCCUUAGGGUUGUAAAGUACUUUCAGCGGGGAGGCGUUACCCGCAGAAGAAGCACCGGCUAACUCCGUGCCAGCCACCGCGGUAAUAC